GGACGUGUCAUGGCUUGAGAAAAAGCGUGAAAAUCUAGACUUGACUCUUUGGAGACCAAAACUGGAAGAUGAGACAGUUUGCAUUUUGAUCAGAUGUAGCUGUUCAAUCUUCCAAAAGAAUUAGAAAAAGAAGAUAAGAGGGAGAGGGAGGGAAAGAGAGGCAUAGCAGAGAGAGCAUGAAGAAGGUAUGUAUAUGUAACAGAGACAUAAA
rnacentral:lncRNA from 1 species